UGUUGAUACAUAUGUGUUUUGAUAUUUUGUUGUAUUUACAGCAAGCUUCAAAACUUGAUGUGUCAAAUUUGCUGAUGGUGUUAACAUCAUAGAUAUUUUAUACUUAUAAAUGUCGAAUUUCAUGCCAAAAAAAGCAAAAAGAGAGAGAAAUUGGGGAAUGGGG